GAAGCCGUGCUUCUCGGUAAGUUUUAUCUCAAUUUCCAGAUGGUGGUCCAACUGUGACGGCUUGAGUAGGAAAAAUGGCUGCUUCUACUGCUCAUCUCUCCCUCCUCUCCAAAUCGUCACCCUCCUCACCUUCAUUGCCGCACGUCUUCUUCACUCUGCCCAAAACUAACUCCGUCCGGGCCAAUUCCCGGUUCAGAUGCUCGGCCGGACAGACGGGGUUCUUCACCCGGCUCGGUCGCUUGCUUAAGGAGAAGGCCAAGAGUGACGUCGACAAGAUCGUCUCGGGCUUCUCGAAAACGCGCGACAACCUCGCUGUCAUUGACGAGCUCCUCCUCUACUGGAACCUUGCUGAUACCGAUAAAGUCCUCGACGAACUCGAAGAGGCUCUACUGGUGUCUGAUUUCGGACCAAAGAUCACCAUUAAGAUUGUGGAGAGCUUGCGUGAGGAUAUAUUGGCAGGGAAACUCAAGUCAGGGAAUGAGAUUAAGGAUGCAUUGAAGAAAAGUGUGUUGGAGUUUUUAACUAAAAGCGCUAAUAAAACCGAGCUUCAACUUGGAUUCAGGAAGCCAUCUGUGAUUCUGAUUGUCGGCGUUAAUGGAGGAGGCAAGACAACAUCACUUGGAAAACUGGCCUAUAGACUGAAAAAGGAAGGGGCCAAGAUAUUGAUGGCAGCAGGGGAUACUUUUAGAGCAGCUGCUAGUGAUCAGCUGGAGAUAUGGGCUGAGAGGACUGGAUGUGAGAUAGUUGUGGCUGAAGGAGACAACGCCAAAGCAUCAUCUGUUCUUUCACAAGCUGUCAAAAGAGGGAAAGAACAAGGUUUUGAUGUAGUAUUAUGCGACACGUCUGGACGUCUCCACACUAACUACAGCCUGAUGGAAGAGUUGAUUGCAUGUAAAAAAGCUGUGGGCAAAGUUGUUUCAGGUGCACCAAAUGAGAUCCUGCUAGUUUUGGAUGGGACUACUGGUUUGAAUAUGCUACCACAAGCACGAGAGUUCAAUGAAGUCGUUGGAAUUACUGGUUUGGUUUUGACAAAACUUGAUGGUUCUGCCAGAGGUGGCUGUGUGGUACGCUUUAUACUCAUUUGAACGGUGAGCGUGGUAGAUGAACUUGGCAUCCCUGUAAAGUUUGUUGGUGUUGGAGAAGGUGUUGAAGACCUUCAACCGUUUGAUGCUGAGGCCUUUGUUGAUGCCAUAUUUUCAUAGAGCCUAAAAGUUGAUCGGUAGUUUUUCGUUAUUGAGUGUACAACUCCCAUUUCUUUCCUAUUAUUUUUUCCUUAUAUUUCAAAAUUGAUUGUAUAGGCUUUACCCUAGUCCAGUUGUGAAUCAGACCCCACUGUCCCACACACAUGAUACCACCCUGACUUGGGUCAUAAUUUCCCCAUGGAAUUUUGGAAUUCUCUCUUCAACUUGAUUCACUGCUACCUGUCUUAUAGCUUGUACUGGUUCAGAAGCCUAAUUAAGGGUGGUUUCUUGUCUUGCAAUUCAGCACAAGUCCUCAGCAUAAUAGCUGUAGCCAGAAGAGGUCAACCUUGAGGUCAGUUUCUGAGAGUUCAAGAACACUUUCUCAUACAAACGUGCGAAGAAGUGGUCCUUGUCAAGACCGUACACAAUUCUUUCCUGCUGAUUAUGGCUGAAAUGAUGAAAAUUUAAUGUGCGAGAAUCCAUCUCUAAUGAUCACUAAUUUGAACUCUCCUUUUCUUUGCGGUAUCAACCAUUCAUAUAUUUAUUUUCAGCAUUUGAGUAA